GACGUAGGGCGCGAGCGUUGUCCGGAUUUAUUGGGCGUAAAGAGCUCGUAGGCGGCUUGUCGCGUCGAAUGUGAAAACUCGGGCUCAACUCCGAGCUUGCAUUCGAUACGGGCAGGCUAGAGUUCGGUAGGGGAGCGGGGAAUUCCUGGUGUAGCGGUGAAAUGCGCAGAUAUCAGGAGGAACACCGGUGGCGAAGGCGCCGCUCUGGGCCGAAACUGACGCUGAGGAGCGAAAGCGUGGGGAGCGAACAGG
rnacentral:rRNA from 1 species